GAUGAACGCUGGCGGCGUGCCUAAUACAUGCAAGUCGAGCGAACAGAUAAGGAGCUUGCUCCUUUGACGUUAGCGGCGGACGGGUGAGUAACACGUGGGUAACCUACCUAUAAGACUGGGAUAACUUCGGGAAACCGGAGCUAAUACCGGAUAACAUUUGGAACCGCAUGGUUCUAAAGUGAAAGAUGGUUUUGCUAUCACUUAUAGAUGGACCCGCGCCGUAUUAGCUAGUUGGUAAGGUAACGGCUUACCAAGGCAACGAUACGUAGCCGACCUGAGAGGGUGAUCGGCCACACUGGAACUGAGACACGGUCCAGACUCCUACGGGAGGCAGCUGUAGGGAAUCUUCCGCAAAGGGCGAAAGCCUGACGGAGCAACGCCGCGUGAGUGAUGAAGGGUUUCGGCUCGUAAAACUCUGUUAUUAGGGAAGAACAAACGUGUAAGUAACUGUGCACGUCUUGACGGUACCUAAUCAGAAAGCCACGGCUAACUACGUG
rnacentral:rRNA from 1 species